CGUGUAGGUGGCUUGGUAAGUCAGUUGUGAAAGCUUCCGGCUUAACCGGAAAAUUGCAAUUGAAACUGCCAUGCUUGAGUGCGAGAGAGGGUAGUGGAAUUCCCAGUGUAGCGGUGAAAUGCGUAGAUAUUGGGAAGAACACCAGUAGCGAAGGCGGCUACCUGGCUCGCAACUGACGCUAAUGCGCGAAAGCGUGGGGAGCAAACA
rnacentral:rRNA from 1 species